rnacentral:rRNA from 1 species
AUUAGCAUGCUAGUCGCACGAGUUCAGACUCGUGGCGAAUAGCUCAGUAACACGGUGGCCAAACUACCCUUCGGAACACAAUACCCUCGGGAAACUGAGGCUAAUAGUGUAUACCAUACCACCACUGGAAUGAGUGGUAUGCCAAACGCUCCGGCGCCGAAGGAUGUGGCUGCGGCCGAUUAGGUAGACGGUGGGGUAACGGCCCACCGUGCCAAUAAUCGGUAUGGGUCAUGAGAGUGAGAACCCAGAGACGGAAUCUGAGACAAGAUUCCGGGCCCUACGGGGCGCAGCAGGCGCGAAACCUUUACACUGCACGACAGUGCGAUAGGGGGAUCCCAAGUGCACAGGCAUAGCGCCUGUGCUUUUCGGUACCCUAAGGCGGUACCAGAAUAAGGGCUGGGCAAGACCGGUGCCAGCCGCCGCGGUAAUACCGGCAGCCCAAGUGAUGGCCGAUCUUAUUGGGCCUAAAGCGUCCGUAGCUGGCCGCGCAAGUCCAUCGGGAAAUCCACCUGCUCAACAGGUGGGCGCCCGGUAGAAACUGCGUGGCUUGGGACCGGAAGGCGCGACGGGUACGUCCGGGGUAGGAGUGAAAUCCCGUAAUCCUGGACGGACCGCCGAUGGCGAAAGCACGUCGCGAGAACGGAUCCGACAGUGAGGGACGAAAGCCAGGGUCUCGAACCGGAUUAGAUACCCGGGUAGUCCUGGCCGUAAACAAUGUCUGCUAGGUGUGGCUCCCACUACAAGUGGGUUGCUGUGCCCGUAGGGGAAGCCGCUAAGCAAACCGCCUGGGAAGUACGUCCGCAAGGGAUGAAAACUUAAAGGAAUUGGCGGGGGGAGCACUACAACCCGGGAGGAGCCUGGCGGUUUUAAUUGGACUUCAACGCCGGGACAAUUCUCACCAGCAUUCGACUUGUAGUAAUGACGAAUCAGGGUUGAUGA